UUUUUGAACUUUAGAAAUAAUACUAAGCUUUUUGAAAAAAAAACUAUUUUUGUGUUUAAUAAAUAAUAUCUUGAAACACUUUCAAUAAUUAUAAUUUCAAAUUAUUUUAAUUAUUAUUUGUGGAAAAUUUUAUUACCUUUUUAUAUACCUGCGAAUCCCGAGCUGUGAAUGUUUACAUUGAAAUACAAAGGGUAUGCCUUUAGUCGAAGGUCAUUAAUUGAAAAUCCCAUAAAUGUAAUUUUCAAUCAGUUGCAAUGCGUGUCUUGACCUGUUUAGAUGUGAUCGUGUAAAUUUUGUAAUUUUAAAAAUAGUCUGUGUUAAAUAUAAAUUUUUUUAAUUUUAGUAAAUUUUUUUUUUGUUCCAGAAGUGUUCGAAAUUCUUAAACUCGUGAUCGUGUAAAUUUUUCAAAAAAAAAGAAGUAUAUUUUGUUGCCGGGAGUGUUCGAAAUUUUUUAAAACCGCGAUCGUUUAAAUUUUUAGGAAAAGUCCUUUUUUUACCGGGAGUGUUCGAAAUUCUUAAAAUUGUGAUCGUUUUAAUUUUUAUAGAAAAAAGUAUUGUUUUUUAAUUUAAUAAACAUAAUUUCGGGAGUGUUCGAAAUUUUCCAAAAUGCGUGUGUUUCAAGCAGAUCUAAUUGUCAAAAAUUACAAUUUUUCGAAGGAAAUAAGAAAAACUGGAGUGAUUUCUUCAAGUCCUUUGAGAAGCUGGAAAGAAAUAUUUACCCAAUUUGGCAUCUCGUGAAUAUCGGCAGUUCGAUGAUGAUAAUUGAGCACCACAACGAUACUUCAAGGAAUAUUCAGAGACUUGAGAAUCGUUUACUUAAAGCGACUUCGAGCUGGUUCUUUAUUGCAAUCAACGUCUGCGGGCGCUGCCGCUGCGGUAUUACAUAAAACUUACCUUCCCCAUUGGUCUGAAAAAAUAUUCAAGUGGCAGAGUGAAACCAAGCAGCGCCAUACUCGAAAUAAGAACGCAGGGCACGAUGAGAUUAAAGAAAUAGUAGAGGGUACGUCUUCGAAUUUUAAUGGUGAAUGUAAUGUCAACAUAGGGUUCUGGACAACAUUGAUAGGUGAUGGUGUUCUUUUUUCCUGGCAUUCCUGUAAAAAGAGGCCGUCACAGAGAGAGAAAGAGAGAGAGGGAGUUUUAUGACCACUAUUGAGCAGAAUGACUGUUUCCACGCAAUAUGUGUUACAUGACCACAAUCCAAUUGUUCAACUGAUGGGAUGUAAUAUAUUUUGCAAAAUGUUACGUGAAAAGUCCCUAUAUACUGAUUUGAUUCUCAUACCAUUCACUCUGACUUUGACUCGUUAAUAAUUAAUUCAA